AGAGUUUGAUCCUGGCUCAGGACGAACGCUGGCGGCGUGCUUCAUACAUGCAAGUCGAACGAGAAGCUCACUUCGGUGAGUGGAAAGUGGCGGACGGGUGAGUAAUGUGUAGAGAAUCUGCCCUUGAGUGGGGGACAACAGCUGGAAACGGUUGCUAAUACCCCAUAUGAGAUAUUUUGGAAUAAAUAUCUUGAAAACUCCGGUGCUCAAGGAUGAGUCUGCAUCUGAUUAGCUAGUUGGGGGUGUAAUGGACCACCAAGGCGACGAUCAGUAGCUGGUUUGAGAGGAUGAUCAGCCACAAUGGGACUGAGACACGGCCCAUGCUCCUACGGGAGGCAGCAGUAGGGAAUUUUGCGCAAUGGGCGAAAGCCUGACGCAGCAACGCCGCGUGAUUGAUAAAGCCCUUCGGGGUGUAAAGAUCUGUCAGUGGGGACGAACAAUGACGGUACCCACAGAGGAAGCACCGGCUAACUCCGUGCCAGCAGCCGCGGUAAUACGGAGGGUGCGAGCGUUGUCCGGAAUCAUUGGGCGUAAAGAGUUCGUAGGUGGCCUGUUAAGUCUGGUGUUAAAUGCAGAUGCUCAACAUCUGUUCGGCACUGGAUACUGGCAAGCUUGAAUGCGGUAGAGGUAAAGGGAAUUCCUGGUGUAGCGGUGAAAUGCGUAGAUAUCAGGAGGAACAUCGGUGGCGUAAGCGCUUUACUGGGCCGUAAUUGACACUGAGGAACGAAAGCCAGGGUAGCAAAUGGGAUUAGAUACCCUGGUAGUCCACACCGUAACGAUGAUUACUAGGUGUUGGAGGAUUGACCCCUCCAGUGCCGCAGUUAACACAUAGUAUCCACCUGGGAGUACGACCGCAGUGAACUCAAGGAAUGACGGGGCCGCACAGCAGUGGAGUAUGUGGUUUAUCGACGCACGCGAAGACUUACAGUCUUGACAUCUGCGACGAUGCUGAACAGUAUUUUUCUUCGACGCAAGACAGUGGUUGUCAUGUUGUUCGUCAGCUCUGGUCUGUGAGAUUGUUUGGUUAGUUCCGCACGAGGGCCACCCUUACUGUCAGCUAAUAUACGCAAGAGGACUCUGGCAGGACUGCCGUUGACAAAACGGAGGAAGGUGGGGAUGACGUCAAAUCAUCAUGCCCUUUAUGACUUGGGCUACACACGUACUACAAUGGCGUUAAACAAAGAGAAGCAAGACCGCGAGGUGGAGCAAAACUCAGAAACAACGUCCCAGUUCGGACUGCAGGCUGCAACUCGCCUGCACGAAGUCGGAAUUGCUAGUAAUCGUGGAUCAGCAUGCCACGGUGAAUACGUUCCCGGGCCUUGUACACACCGCCCGUC
rnacentral:rRNA from 1 species